rnacentral:rRNA from 1 species
AGUCGAGGGGUACAGGGAGAAGCUUGCUUUUCCGCUGACGACCGGCGCACGGGUGCGUAACGCGUAUACAAUCUACCUUAUACUGGGGUAUAGCCUUAGAAAUGAAGAUUAAUCCCCCAUAGUCUCUUAGAGUGGCAUCAUUUUAGGAGUAAAGGUUACGGUAUAAGAUGAGUAUGCGUUCUAUUAGUUUGUUGGUGAGGUAACGGCUCACCAAGGCUACGAUAGAUAGGGGCCCUGAGAGGGGGAUCCCCCACACUGGUACUGAGACACGGACCAGACUCCUACGGGAGGCAGCAGUGAGGAAUAUUGGACAAUGGAGGCAACUCUGAUCCAGCCAUGCCGCGUGCAGGAAGACUGCCCUACGGGUUGUAAACUGCUUUUAUAUAGGAAGAAACCUACUUACGUGUAAGUAGCUGACGGUACUAUAAGAAUAAGGAUCGGCUAACUCCGUGCCAGCAGCCGCGGUAAUACGGAGGAUCCAAGCGUUAUCCGGAAUCAUUGGGUUUAAAGGGUCCGUAGGUGGAUAAUUAAGUCGGAGGUGAAAUCUUGCAGCUCAACUGUAAAAUUGCCUUUGAUACUGGUUAUCUUGAGUUAUUAUGAAGUAGUUAGAAUAUGUAGUGUAGCGGUGAAAUGCAUAGAUAUUACAUAGAAUACCAAUUGCGAAGGCAGAUUACUAAUAAUCAACUGACACUGAUGGACGAAAGCGUGGGUAGCGAACAGGAUUAGAUACCCUGGUAGUCCACGCCGUAAACGAUGGUUACUAGCUGUUUGGACCUUGUGUCUGAGUGGCUAAGCGAAAGUGAUAAGUAACCCACCUGGGGAGUAC